rnacentral:rRNA from 1 species
UACGUAGGGUGCAAGCGUUGUCCGGAAUUAUUGGGCGUAAAGAGCUCGUAGGCGGUCUGUCGCGUCGGCUGUGAAAACCCGGAGCUCAACUCCGGGCCUGCAGUCGAUACGGGCAGACUGGAGUUCGGCAGGGGAGACUGGAAUUCCUGGUGUAGCGGUGAAAUGCGCAGAUAUCAGGAGGAACACCGGUGGCGAAGGCGGGUCUCUGGGCCGAUACUGACGCUGAGGUGCGAAAGCGUGGGGAGCAAACAGG